GGUCAUGUGGCCUUCGACACCUGUGAGUCACAACGUUUAGUUUGGGAAAUUCCUAUAAAUAUCUCCCUCAAGCGCCCUUCAUCUUCAUCGGACUCCAAUCAUUUGAAUCACAUUCGUUAAUCACCCAGCCUUCUCGCUGCGACGUCGUUUUAGCCCCCGUUAUUUGCUCUGCGACGUCGUUUUGGUUGCUGGAGUUUCUUCUACACGAAAAUGUUUCGUCUCGUUGUAGUUGCUCUGUUGGUGUUGUGUGUGUCGGGUGCCGGCGUCGUACAUGGAGCCAAUGCUCCGGCACCGUCUCCUAAGUCGCCGACGUCACCAUCGCCGGCAUCGACUCCACCGGCCAAGUCUCCAGAGUCGGCAUCUCCAGCCAAGACUCCAGAGUCGGCAUCUCCGGUCAAGUCUCCAGUGUCACCACCUGCGGCUAGUCCCGUCCAAUCCCCAUCAGAAUCGCCAUCUUCUUCGCCGCCCACAGCCUCUCCCGUGACGCCUCCGAGUGCCACUCCGGCUGUGAGUCCAACUACACAAGUGUCUUCUCCGGUUCCGUCUCCCGAAUCCACUACUCCACCAUCCGCAUCUCCAUCUGCAACUCCGGCAGCCACUCCGGCGACGUCUCCAGAAGCAUCGACUCCUUCGGCGACGCCUCCAGAAGCAUCGACCCCUACCGCCGAGUCUCCAGCAGAAGUUCCGGCCACUGCUACGACUCCAGAGGCACCCGGAAGCAUUCCUUCCAGUUCCGCAACUCCUGCAGAGUCGCCGGAAAUUUUCCCGUCAAGCAGUCCUCCGACACCAGCGAGUUCGUCUCCUGAAACUGCAGAGGGUCCGGUGAACGACGAUUCGGGUUCGGAGCCAGUAUACCGGACUGGAGUCAUAUUGAGCGGGUUGGCUCUAUUGGCCGCUUUGGCUAUUUAAAAUUAUUUUUUCCCUCCUGUCUAUUAUUUUCACUUUUAGGGCACGUAUUCUUCACACCUCACGAAAAAGAAAAUAGCAAGAGGGGGAGGGAGUGUGUGAUUCUUACUACGUUGUAUAAUUUUGUUUGGUAAUCGAUAUUAAAUAAUAUAAUAUUUAUUAAUUUAAUUUAUUAUUAUUAUUAUUAAUUUAGUCUACUUUCUCUGAAAAAAAAUAUUUUUGUAACACGAAAUCAUUGAUAAACAGGCUCUGGGCUCAGCCAAGAGUUGUGGGGACCAAAGCACUUUGGUUGUCGCAACGCCAAAUC
rnacentral:lncRNA from 1 species